CCGGCGGGACGGACGAAGGACGCAGGGAAGGAAGGGGAGGUGCCGCUCGCCGCCCGCCCGCCCUCCGCCUCAGGCUGCGCGUGCGCCCGGCGGCGGCCGGGGCUUUCCCGGCGCGGCGCCCGCAGUCGGAGUUUCCCGGGCAGGGGCGGUGCCGGGCGGGGGCUCCUCUCCCCCUGCGCCCCCUUGCCAGGCUCCGCAUAUAGGCGGGGGCGCGCACCGGGGCCGCCCGCUGCGGGGGGCCCGGCCGGAGACCGCUUUGUUCCACCCGAAAGAAUUAAAUGAUUGAAACCAUAGAUACUUACAAUUUCUUCUCGUGGACAGUCAGUAUCAAUAUGGAGGCGUAGGCACCUUAGAAGGGACUUCAGUCUGAACUCUGGGAGGUAGUUCUGUGCACAAAUAAAGAAACUAAGGCUUCAAAAAAAAUUUUUUUUUUUUUUAAUCUGAGGAUUCUGUUUGUUUCUGUAUGCCAUAAACAUGGAAUACAGAAAAAACUCAAUUCAACAUUAUAAAGCAUUAGAAUGUCCCCAUACAAGGCAAUUCAUUUAUGUUAAAUUUGAUAACCCUAUACCUGUAACUAAGGCACCAGGUUAAAACUGAAAUGCCCCGUUCAGUCUGUGCUGACAUUGUUAUAGACAGAAAAGCCUGAGGCUAUUCCAGGCUUGUUAAUUAAGACAGUUCAUCCUUGUCAGAGACAGCGUAUAGGAUUUAUCUCGUAGCUGAAUAUUUGAUACAUGUGAAGUUGAGUAUAAGCUAACUUCUUUAGUCUUAAUAAUUACUACAACGAUAUGCAGAAGUUGAGGGUUUUUUGGAAGUCUAGUAGUAGCAAAUAUACCAGAUCAGUUCAGUAAUGUCAGUUGAGGGGCUCUUUUUUCAUAUGCCUUUUGGGCUUGAUAAACCAUUGUUUUCAGCCUCCUAAUGAGGUUUACAAACUAAAGUCUUUACAUGUGUAUAAGCUGCAUAUUCAUCAGCUGUCUAGGGUGAAAUAGUUCUUAAUCACUUAACAUAUGUUCUGGUUAAAAAUGAUGGCAUUUUAAUUGGCCCCCGUUUUAGUUUCUUUAUUGACAAAGGAUUUUGAUAAACCCAUCUGAGGUUUUUCCCCUCUGGAUCCCACCUCCACUAGCCUGACAAAUUGAUACUGCUCUCCCAGACAUACAGUACAAGGAAAGCAUGUGAUGCCCCUAUGAUUCAAGGGGAAGUCCUUUUUGACAUGCUUUCUUCAAUUGUCAAAAUGGGAUGGGGCAGCUUUUGCACUGAAAGCAGUUGUGUAAGCUAAAGUACAAGAACUUCCCAAAGGUUUAAAAGCUGUUAAUCAUGAGGCUAAUUCUAUUCACAUAUGCAUUCAAAGUAUUUCAUUUUCAGGUUCUUACUUUUGUACAGGCAGGGGUUAUUCCGAAUUGCCUUUAAUGCACACAACUACCUCCCAGAGGAAGACUUGUCCCAU
rnacentral:lncRNA from 1 species